GUUGUAUGGUUAAGUGACUAAGCGUACACGGUGGAUGCCUAGGCAGUCAGAGGCGAUGAAGGACGUAGUAACUUGCGAAAAGC
rnacentral:rRNA from 1 species